UACGUAGGGUGCGAGCGUUGUCCGGAAUUAUUGGGCGUAAAGGGCUCGUAGGCGGUUUGUCGCGUCGGGAGUGAAAACACACAGCUUAACUGUGUGCUUGCUUCCGAUACGGGCAGACUAGAGGUAUGCAGGGGAGAACGGAAUUCCUGGUGUAGCGGUGAAAUGCGCAGAUAUCAGGAGGAACACCGGUGGCGAAGGCGGCUCUCUGGGCAUUACCUGACGCUGAGGAGCGAAAGUGUGGGGAGCGAACAGG
rnacentral:rRNA from 1 species